AUAAAACCGUGGUCUCUUACCAUACCCGUGACAGUGGUCAAUGUGUACUGGAUGCAUGAAGACCUAAAGGACCUAAAUAUUAUCUGACAGACUACUGUAAGCCAUAGAAUCAUAGAAUCACUAAGGGUUGGAAAAGACCCACAGGUUCAUCCAGUCCAACCAUUCACCCAUCACCAAUGGUCAAAAAAAAAAAAAAAAAAGGCUGAUUUUCUCAAUGCCAAGAUCUCUUGCUAUAGCCCAGUUUUCUGCAGAUGAGUAUGUUGGACGCCUGUGCUAAGCACCAUCAGUACCACAGCCGCUUCCCUCGGAUCCUGGGUGUCUCUCUCCAGGCAGUCCCUUUGCCUGGCUGACAUGCCUGGCAGAGGAUUCCCUGAAGGGAACCUUUUCCUCACAGCUGAUGCUGAGCACCUUACGUUCUGUGUCCAUCAUCGGAUCACCUCCACAGCCCCAUUUUAUACCACUGUUACAAUGAGAAAGAAUGUAGGCAAGGAUGGAAUGAAACGAAUUUAGCAAACACAAACUGCAAGGCAUAGCCAUUAGGUGAGCAUUUCGAACCACGGUGUGUAAAGGAGUUAUAAAAUACAAGCAGGUCUAUAAAACAAGAACAUCCUGUGUUGACAAAUAAAUUGUAUCCUUCCUCCAUCAGGUAUCAGCUUUUUUCACCUUUUCCCUCAGUAAUGAUAUCUCGGAGCACAGAGGGAUUUUUGCUGUAGGGGCAGAGAUGGGAGGUGUCACUGGGAAAAAUUCCUUAAAAAUAUAUAUGUUUUUAUUUUUUAAUAAUGUUUGUGAGCAUCUACUACUCAGGAAGGAACCUCAGCCUGUCUUGAAGGGGAGGUGUUCAGCUCCCUGAUCAUCUUUGUGGCCCUCAUCUGGACUCUCUCUGACAGCUCUUUGUCUUUUCCUCCUCCUUUCAGGAAAAUCAUAGAAGCUGAAGUGAGGAUAUUUGUGGGUUUUGUUUGGGGCCUGGUGCUGAGAAGACCUACAUCCUUGCCGCUGCACAGAAAACACACCAAUGUUUCUGUGCCCCUCCACUCACCUCUCCUGCUGUAUGAAGUUGGCUGCAUCAGCCUUUGGAUGCUGGAAGGCACCACAGGUGUGAGCCAGAGAAACCCCACAGAAAAUAAAGUAGAUACCAGCCUUACCCUGGAACACCACUGAAGUUUGUGGCAGUUUUGCAUGCACAGCAUUGACAGGAUGUACCUUCAGUAAAAGUGACAAGGCGUUAUUUGCUGCUAAGCAGGGAUUUCCUAGAAGGCUUCAGGAAAGCAAAUAUAUCAGGACUGUUGUUGCUACAAAGAGCACAGUGACAAAAGAAUGAAUGCUUCUGAAGGAUCUCCCCUUAUUUGAAAGGAGCAAAAGUAAAUAAAAGCACUUAAUAGACUUUGUAGUCA
rnacentral:lncRNA from 1 species